UACGGAGGGUGCAAGCGUUGUUCGGAAUCACUGGGCGUAAAGCGCGUGUAGGCGGCCACUUAAGUCUGAUGUGAAAGCCCUGGGCUCAACUCAGGAAGUGCAUUGGAUACUGGGUGGCUGGAGUACCGGAGAGGAGGGUGGAAUUCCUGGUGUAGCGAUGAAAUGCGUAGAUAUCAGGAGGAACACCGGUGGCGAAGGCGUCCCUCUGGCCGGAUACUGACGUGAGACGCGAAAGCGUGGGGAGCAAACAGG
rnacentral:rRNA from 1 species